rnacentral:misc_RNA from 1 species
GUAGGUGAACCUGCGGGAGGAUCAUUAACAAAUUAUAUGUGUGUCUUUGUAGUCUCGGCAACGAGGCUGCACUGCACAUAUACAACAAACCAAAAUUUACCAAUCUGUGCAACAACAAAAACAAAACAAGAAGAGAGGCAAUUACUGCGUGCCUGCGUUGAUGCGUUCGCGCCUGUUAACGUAAGUGUUGCUUUCUCUUCUCAAUUGACCAAUUCCACAAACUAUUAUUAACUUUAUUAACCAACCAUUA